AUGGCGGCAGUCACAGUGGCCGCAGAAUGGCAGCUCCUCCACAAUCGCUACUACCGGAAACCAGAACUUUACCAGAUGCAAUGGAAGAACGUGGACCUCACGCGCAACAAAGUUGCUUGCGCUCCUUUCGGCGGUCCAAUCGCUGUCAUCCGUGACGACGCUAAGAUCGUCCAACUCUACGCCGAUCCGCCCUUCGGAAGCUCCGUAUCUUCAAUUCUGCCGGCGUUCAGAUCUCCGAAACUAUCUGGAAGAAUCCCGGCGGCCGACUCAUCGGCAUGUCAUGGACCGAAGAUCAAACCCUAGUUUGCAUCACUCAGGAUGGCACCGUUUACCGUUACAACAUCCACGCCGAGCCUAUUGAACCGAAUUCUCAGCUCUCACUAGGCGCUGACUGUCUUACUCAUAGCGUAGUUGAAUGCAUCUUCUGGGUAAACGGUGUCGCCUGUAUCAAUGAGGCGUUUCAGGUUUACUGCAUACCCGAUUUCAACAACCCGAAACCAAUCAAAUUGGCGGAUACUGGUUUGGAGGAUUUUCCGUUAUGUACGGCUGUGAUCGAGCCGCAGUAUACUAUGUCUUGGAAUGUGGAGGUACUGAUGAGUGUGGCUGAUCACGUGUUGCUGGUGGAAGAGGAUGGCGUUCAACAAGUUGGGCUUGGAAUUGGGCCUCUACAGAAAAUGGUGGUUUCUCAGAAUGGGAAGCUUUUGGCAGCUUUUACACAUGAUGACAGGCUUCUUGUUGUGUCUACGGACUUCUCCAGCAUUAUUUUCGACUAUACUUUUGAGAAGUCAGCCCUACCCCCCGAGCAGCUAGCAUGGUGUGGAUUGGACAGUGUACUACUCUACUGGGAUGAUAAGCUUCUAAUGGUGGGUCCUGGAGAUCCUGUCAGCUAUUUCUAUGAUGAACCAGUUCUCCUUAUCCCUGAAUGUGACGGGGUUAGAAUACUCUCCAACAUGAGCAUGGAAUUUCUUCAUCGUGUUCCAGAUUCAACUGUCUCCAUAUUUCAGAUUGGUAGCACACUACCAGCUGCUUUGCUUUAUGAUGCCUUAGAUCAUUUUGACAGGCGGAGUGCCAAGGCUGAUGAGAAUCUGAGGUUGAUACGGUCUUCGUUGCCUGAGGCUGUUGAAGCAUGUAUUGAUGCAGCACGUCAUGAAUUUGAUGUUUCACUGCAAUGGACGCUUUUAAGAGCAGCAAACUUCGGACAAGCCUUUUGCAGCCAUUUUCAACGGGACCGCAUUCAAGAGAUGUGUAAAACCUUACGAGUCCUAAAUGCUGUACGUCACCCAGAUAUUGGAAUCCCUCUCAGUAUUCAGCAGUAUAAGUUGCUUACGCCUGCUGUUCUGAUUGCUCGUCUUAUUAAUGCUCAUCGCCACCUUCUUGCGCUACAAAUAUCAGAAUAUCUUGGCAUGAAUCAGGAAGUUGUAGUCAUGCAUUGGACAUGUACAAAGAUCACAGCAUCGGCGGCAAUCCCUGAUGCCACUCUUCUAGAAAUGUUACUUGAUAAGCUGAAAAUAUGCAAGGGGAUAUCUUAUGCUGCAGUUGCUGCUCAUGCAGAUAAGAAUGGUCGUCGAAAGUUAGCUGCCAUGCUUGUUGAACAUGAGCCACGUUCAUCUAAGCAGGUUCCUCUAUUGCUAAGCAUUGGAGAAGAAGAUACUGCUCUGAUGAAGGCUACUGAAAGUGGUGAUACCGAUCUGGUUUAUCUUGUCCUCUUCCAUAUCUGGCAGAAGAAACCAGCUUUGGAGUUCUUCGGUACAAUACAGGUCAGACCUCUAGCUCGUGAUUUGUUUGUUAAUUAUGCACGGCAUUACAAGCACGAAUUUCUGAAGGACUUUUUCCUAUCUACUGGACAACUUCAGGAUGUAGCUUUCCUAUUAUGGAAAGAAUCAUGGGAAUUGUCUAAAAAUUCAAUGGCUAGCAAAGGAUCUCCACUUCAUGGUCCAAGAAUAAAACUCAUUGAGAAGUCCCAGCACCUUUUUGCAGAAACAAAGGAAUAUGUUUUUGAAUCAAAAGCUGCUGAAGAGCAUGCAAAAUUGUUAAGGAUGCAACAUGAGUUGGAGGUGACUACAAAACAGGCCAUCUUUGUGGAUUCAAGUAUAAGUGAUACAAUUCGUACAUGCAUUGUGCUGGGGAACCAUCGUGCUGCCGCAAAAGUCAAAACAGAAUUUAAGGUUUCGGAAAAGUCGCUGAGGUUCACUAUAAACAAUAAGGCAUCUGCAGAGAUGGCUUAUCCCUACAUGACUGCUAUAGCAUACAUGCUAAUGAAGGGUAAUGGAUAUCUUAUAGUCAUCCCCUUUUCUCCUCUUUUUUCUCUUCUAGGUUACCGCCCAUUUGUCGAGGCAUGUGUUGAUGCAGAUGAGAAAGGUGAAGUGCUAAAGUACAUACCAAAGCUGACUGAUCCUCGCGAAAGAUCAGAGGCUUAUGCUCGAGUUGGAAUGGCCAAGGAAGCUGCCGAUGCUGCUUCUCAGGCUAAAGAUAAUGAAUUACUUGGGAGGUUGAAGCAGACUUUUGCCCAAAAUGCAGCUGCUUCAUCAAUUUUUGACACACUGCGAGACCGGUUAUCCUUCCCAAGUGUUUCUUGAUGCCGGCCAUCUCUUAGCUGGCCUUUGGUGUGAGCCUGUUGUUGUUAUGACUCUUCCAAAUUAACAUUGAUUGAGGAUUGAUAGCGUUGGAGUGAUGCUGUUCCACAGCACGAUAAAAGAAGCCCUUGGAACCCAUCUGCUGCAUGCCCUCUCUCCUUGCCUGUUUUUUCUAUAUAUUUAUAGCGUUUGAGGUUGUGGAAGUGUUUGAAUCCGGCAAAGAUUCCUCAUGUUCUAGAUCCUGUGAAUAGCUUGGCUGGAAACGAUAUAUGAAAGCAUGUGCUGAUGUUUCUCCCUGAAUUGGUAACAGAAUUCGUUUGAGCUCUAACAUUUCCAUGGUAUGCAGUUUCCAUUUCUAUGUGGCUGAGUGAUGUAACAUCCUCUGUGGAUGUUCGAAAAUAAACUGAAUCCACCAGCUCGCUGGUAAUGUUUUGCUUGUUUUUCCAACUCGUUUGGACUCUUUUUUCUAUCCUAUGUACGUCACAGGA